rnacentral:rRNA from 1 species
AGUGAACGCUGGCGGUAGGCCUAACACAUGCAAGUCGAACGGCAGCACAGUAAGAGCUUGCUCUUACGGGUGGCGAGUGGCGGACGGGUGAGGAAUACAUCGGAAUCUACUUUUUCGUGGGGGAUAACGUAGGGAAACUUACGCUAAUACCGCAUACGACCUACGGGUGAAAGCAGGGGAUCUUCGGACCUUGCGCGAUUGAAUGAGCCGAUGUCGGAUUAGCUAGUUGGCGGGGUAAGGCCCACCAAGGCGACGAUCCGUAGCUGGUCUGAGAGGAUGAUCAGCCACACUGGAACUGAGACACGGUCCAGACUCCUACGGGAGGCAGCAGUGGGGAAUAUUGGACAAUGGGCGCAAGCCUGAUCCAGCCAUACCGCGUGGGUGAAGAAGGCCUUCGGGUUGUAAAGCCCUUUUGUUGGGGAAGAAAAGCAGCAGGUUAAUACCCCGCUGUUCUGACGGUACCCAAAGAAUAAGCACCGGCUAACUUCGUG